rnacentral:rRNA from 1 species
UACGUAGGGUGCGAGCGUUAAUCGGAAUUACUGGGCGUAAAGGGUGCGUAGGCGGUUCGUUAAGUCUGUCGUGAAAUCCCCGGGCUCAACCUGGGAAUGGCGAUGGAUACUGGCGAGCUAGAGUGUGUCAGAGGAUGGUGGAAUUCCCGGUGUAGCGGUGAAAUGCGUAGAGAUCGGGAGGAACAUCAGUGGCGAAGGCGGCCAUCUGGGACAACAAUGACGCUGAAGCACGAAAGCGUGGGGAGCAAACAGG